rnacentral:rRNA from 1 species
UGAGUACGAGAUGCUACGGCAUUGAAGCAGUCUAUGUCAUACUUCCAAGAAAAGCUUGCACUGUCAUAAACAAAGAAUGCCUGUACCAUAACCGACACAGGUGGGUAGGUAGAGUAUACUAAGGGGCGCGAGAUAACUCUCUCUAAGGAACUCGGCAAAAUGACUCCGUAACUUCGGGAGAAGGAGUGCCUUAUUUUUAAGGUUGCAAUAACAAGAUCCAAGCAACUGUUUAUCAAAAACACAGGUCUCCGCUAAGUCGUAAGACGAUGUAUGGGGGCUGACGCCUGCCCAGUGCCAGAAGGUUAAAGAAGUUGGUUAGCAUUCGCGAAGCUGAUAACUGAAGCCCUGGUGAACGGCGGCCGUAACUAUAACGGUCCUAAGGUAGCGAAAUUCCUUGUCGGGUAAGUUCCGACCCGCACGAAAGGCGUAAUGAUUUGGAUACUGUCUCGGAGAGGGACUCGGUGAAAUAGACUUGUCUGUGAAGAUGCGGACUACCUGCACCUGGACAGAAAGACCCUAUGAAGCUUUACUGUAACUUGAAAUUGAAAUUGGACUUUAGUUGCGCAGGAUAGGUGGGAGGCGUUGAGAAUAUUCUUGCGGGAGUAUUGGAGCCAUCAGUGAGAUACCACUCUUCUAAUGUUAGAUUUCUAACUUUGUAUCAUUAUCUGGUCAGAGAACAGUUUCAGGCGGGCAGUUUGACUGGGGCGGUCGCCUCCUAAAGGGUAACGGAGGCGCACAAAGGUUUCCUCUGAACGAGUAGAAAUCGUAUCUAGAGUGUAAAGGCAUAAGGAAGCUUGACUGUGAGACCUACAAGUCGAGCAGGGACGAAAGUCGGUCUUAGUGAUCUGACGGUGCUGAGUGGAAAGGCCGUCACUCAACGGAUAAAAGUUACUCUAGUAUAACAGGCUGAUCUCCCCCAAGAGUUCACAUCGACGGGGAGGUUUGGCACCUCGAUGUCGGCUCAUCGCAUCCUGGGGCGGUAGUACGUCCCAAGGGUUGGGCUGUUCGCCCAUGAAAGCGGUACGCGAGCUGGGUUCAGAACGUCGUGAGACAGUUCGGUCCAUAUCCGGUGUAGGCGUUAGAAUAUUGAGAGGAGCCUUCUCUAGUACGAGAGGACCGAGAAGGACAUACCUCUAGUGUACCAGUUAUCGUGCCAACGGUAAACGCUGGGUAGCUAUGUAUGGAGUGGAUAACCGCUGAAAGCAUCUAAGUGGGAAGCCCACCUCAAGAUAAG